rnacentral:rRNA from 1 species
CCUACGGGGGGCAGCAGUGAGGAAUAUUGGUCAAUGGGCGCUAGCCUGAACCAGCCAAGUAGCGUGAAGGAUGACUGCCCUAUGGGUUGUAAACUUCUUUUAUAUGGGAAUAAAGUGCAGUAUGUAUACUGCUUUGCAUGUACCUUAUGAAUAAGGAUCGGCUAACUCCGUGCCAGCAGCCGCGGUAAUACGGAGGAUUCGAGCGUUAUCCGGAUUUAUUGGGUUUAAAGGGAGCGUAGGCGGGUUGUUAAUUCAGUUGUGAAAGUUUGCGGCUCAACCGUAAAAUUGCAGUUGAUACUGGCAGCCUUGAGUACAGUAGAGGUAGGCGGAAUUCGUGGUGUAGCGGUGAAAUGCUUAGAUAUCACGAAGAACUCCGAUUGCGAAGGCAGCCUGCUGGACUGUAACUGACGCGGAUGCUCGAAAGUGUGGGUAUCAAACAGGAUUAGAUACCCGGGUAGUC